AAUGCAGGUUGUUCUAUCGCUGUUUCGGGUUAAACCGAAAGAGAGGAAAGUCCGGGCAACACAGGGCAUCCCGCUUUCUAACAGAAAGGGAUUCAGGAUUGAAAACCUGAAUUACGGAAAGUGCAACAGAAAGUAUACCGCCACAAUCUUGUAUUGUGGUAAGGGUGAAAACGUGUGGUAAGAGCGCACGACAUUAGCAGGCGACUGUUAAUGAUUGUAAACCCCGGGAGUUGAAAGACCAAAUAGGCUAACGCAUGUAGGGCUGCCCGUCCGAUGUUAGUGGGUAGGUCGUUAGAGAUAAACGGCAACGUUUAUAGUGGAUUAAUGAUAGAAGCCCAAUUUAUUGGGAAACAGAACCCGGCUUACAGACCUGCAUUUUUU
rnacentral:RNase_P_RNA from 1 species